rnacentral:lncRNA from 1 species
CCAGGGGCGAGGAGAAAGCAGCUGCACGAAGGAACGUCCCAGCGGAGACAGCUCCACUCCUGCUGCCUCUCCAGAUUAGGCCGUUGCCAUUCCUGCCUCCUCUUCUUCCUCAGAGCCUGCCUUCGCCAGCCUCCCACCGGCACAGCCAGCUAACUCUGUGCUCAAUCCAACAUCGAAGCAAGUUACUUGUGCCUGAAGCCCUGGGAGUUGUUCCCUGCUAGUCUGCAGAGGGCGACGCAGCCUCAGUUUGGCUUUCCAAUUUUCUCUGGUGCCGAGGCUUCCACUGGGCACGGAGGUUUUGCCAGGACUUGGGGCUUGAGAUGGAUGACUGGCUCUGGCUGAGUUAUUAAAAGCUAGCAGGGAAAAUGGGAGAACCAAGCCCAUAAACACAAACUUACUUCUCGGUAGCGUCUCUUCGUGGAGGCUGCGUAGCAGCUGAGGAAAUAGGAGACUGGAAAGGAUCUCGCUUUCCCAUUAAAAGCCUGCUGCAUACGAAUACCAGAAUCAUUUGUAUAAACUUUGAAGACCAGCGUAGCGACAGCUGGUUAUUUCAUGUGUGUGUUUGGCAAUCAAAAGCCCGAGUAUAAAUCAGCUUUGAAAGCUCAGCAUGAAA